UCCCCCCCCACUCCCUGCACACCCACCCCUUAGCUGGGAGCGCCUAACAUGCAGCCAGAAAAAAAAAUGUGGAAGGCCGGUUCACAUCUACCACCUAGAGAGCAAAAUCCUCAGUGGUGUUGGUUUCGCAUAUGUGCCCAUGUUCACUUCCUAGGGCUGCUGAACAAAGUGCCACAAACCACCUGGCUGAAAACAACAGGAAUCUGUGUCUCAUCGCUCCGGAGGCUGGAAUUCUACGAUCAAGGUGAUGUCAAGGCCAGGCUCUCUCUGAGGCUCGGGGGUAGAGGCUGUCCUGCCUCUUCCUGGUUUCUGGUGGGGCGGACGGUGCCCGCGGACCCUCCUGCAGGCUGCGACCCCCGCCUUGACUGCACACCAGGGUUCCAGUGUGACUCGGGCUUCACGCGGCGUUUCCCUCUUUUUAUAAGGACAGCAGUUGUACUGGACGAGGGGCCCCCAUUCCAAUGCGACCUCGUUCUAAUUAAUCACACCCGCAAGAACUCUAUUUCCAAAUGAGGUGACAUUCUGAGGUCCUGGGGGUUAGGACUUCAACAUCGUUUUUGGAGAAAACAACUCGACCUUUAACAAUGCCCAAGAGAAAUGGUUUCAUUUUUAGCAAGUGCACGUUAGAGUUCGCCACUCGAGGCAUCUUUCUCAAGGAUUUCUAACGAUAGCUCGUGGUAUAGGUUGCAUUUAUUUUUCACCAUAAUGAUUUUUAAGACGUCAAAGCCUUGGCCCAACGACAUGGGUGAGUGUGUUUUCACUGUGAGAAAAGAUUCUGUGCUGCUUUCAAAUGUCUGCAGGUUUAUUUUUAGCUGGACAGGAAAUGCAUCUUACGCUCAUGUUCAUUUGUAGGCUGCCCCUUUUUUGGAGGGGUGUUAUUGUUAGAAAACCACGUUCAGUGUGGAGAUGAGUUUGGAUUGAGCAAGUCUAAGUUAUAAUUAUACUACUCUCUGCUAUAGAUUUUCCAAAAUAAUCUUUCUGUUCAUCAGAAUGUGAAAUCUUUCAAAUAAUGGCUCCGUUUGUUAUUCACAAUUGCCCAGCAUUUGUCUUUAAGUGAAGGGCCGAGAGGUUUCGAUUUAACCUGGGGUUGAAUUGAAGGUAGCGUGUCCAUAUAGUGAGAUGUAAAGUGAAAAAUAAAAAUUUAUAAACAUGCUAUGUCGUGACCACAUGAUACCAGAGCCAUUUUUAUUUGUUAUGACUAAACUUCCAGUUGUUUCAAAGGGAGGGAAGCAGUUCAAUUCAGAACUUACCUAAAAUUUUCAUUGUUUCAGCAAAGGGAUCUGUGAUUGGGGGAAGUUUAACUCCUAAGUAGGGGACCUUUCCCUCAGACAAGCUGCUCGUAUUUGUCGCUGGCGCCAGGGAGAAGCUAAUGUUUCAGAAGAGAGCAAGGUAAUUCCAUCCUAAUGCCGUAAUGAGGGUGACAGUGAGGUACAGGAAAUGGUGGGACAUUCCACCUAAAAAUAACCAUCAUGGUUAUAUUGGCAGGUGGCUGUGAUCUCCAUUUCCAAAGGGGAAGCUUCAGGGGGAGGUCCUUUGGCCUUCCUUGGUGGGAUUGCCUGGGAAAAGUGAUCAUUUCACAGAACAGUGUCUGUCUCUCCAUCCUCUUCUUUGAGAGACUCCUGAAUGAAUAAAGCUAUCAUUCUCACACCCCA